UGUCAUUCAAGGGCCGGCGGUGGCUUCCGAUUGGACCAGCCUGGCGCUUAUUUGAAUAAAAGGAGGGCGGGGCGACAGAGGAGGAGGCGGGGAAAAGGUUACAUAAAAUGAAAGGCAGGCAAAGCCGCCCAGGGGAAGCGAGAAACGUUCCUUUUUUCAGCCGGCGGAUGUGGGAAAGUAACUUUUCCGGACCACAGCGGCCAGCAUCCCGGCAGGGAGGGUUGUGAAUACACGCGGAUUUCUCUCUAACUGGGGACCCCUUGAAUCCAUGGGGUUUACAUAAUUACCCACUGCCUUGAGUUGCAAAGGCAUGGAGAUCCGCCGAUAAAUCGGGAAACGUUGCUUUUCAGAAGGGAAAGGGUCGUCCAAAAAGUCCAUCAAGGUUUUUGAGAAAUCUACCUGGACACCCACAGAAUAUGGGCAGAGGCUUGCAGGAGGAGAAGAGGAGCUGAUGUGAGACCGACUGACUCAAUAAAGGAAGCCGCGGCGCCCGGAGUUUCCAAAACCUGGGAGUCCGGAGGGCUCUAGGGUCGCCCUAAAUUGCCUGAGGACAACACCCAAAGCCGGGCAGCAGCCUUGACGUCAAAGCAGAGGGACUGGCCUCUGGUCUUGGGAAGCAGUGCCCCCCUGAAAGGAACGAAGCUCCAUCUGAGGUCCCCCUCGGGUUCGCUGGAAGCAAUCACCAGUGAAGCGCUUGCCUUUGGAAGCUUAAGGCCAGAUCCUCUCUCGUGCGCGAUCCGGGCUGCACUGCAGAAGUACAGAGACUCACAGAGGAGACUAGCAACAAGUUCCCCAGAUUGUCCACCCCUUUCUCAUUAACUUCAGGCCUCACAAGGAAAUGGGAGGCUGUCGUAAUUUGGGUUGACCAUGAGGAGACCAAACCUGCCAUAAUGCUUAGAAGGCAGUAGGAAAAGACGAAGGCCACCCGUGAGAUGGAUUCGCUCAAUAAAGGAAACCACAGGU